ensembl:lncRNA
GGCCGUCCGACUGCGGUCUGGAGUGUGGGGCCUCCCUGCUGCUGCGGAGUCGGGGCGGUCUGCCUCCCCCCACCGCAGGGAAAAGGGUAACACCACCUGGGUCUGGGUACAGUUCCCCCCCUCCAGGGGCAAGGGUACCUAGACCCGGGGCUUAGAGUACGCUUGGGGAAUGUGAUCGUGUGUACAGCGUCUCUUUAUGUCUGUCUCCACGUUGGUUGAGUGUGGAGUAAGUGUAUAUGAGAGCAUGAGGGUGGGAAUGGAUGUUUGUAUAUGUGUGUGCCUGUAUUUCUGUGUCUAUAUGUCAGGUUGGGUGUCAGGCGCCACCUCUCUGGGGACAUCUUAGGCCCUCCAAGGUAUGGAGGCCUAUCUCCCCCUACCACCACUUCCCCUGCCAGUGGCGGACUCCCUCAGACAUCGGUGCGUUGGUGGUUCUUUGUGUCCAGGGGAUGGUAUUUACUGUCAUAUUCCCAUAUAUCAUUGUGAUGUUGUUUAUUCUAUUACUCUUGUUCUCUUCUGCUUGUUUUCUUUUUUCUUUCUCAGCAGGUGACCCAGGUGAUUGAUAUAUGCAUUUUUUUUUCUUUUUUUCUUUUUUUUUUUCUUUUUCUGCUCAUUCUGUUGGUUUUUGGUUUUUGCCCUUCUCCCCCGUCCCUCUUCUCAGUUGUUUCUCUUUCUCCCUUUCUUUCCUCCAGUAAAGUCUGUCCCAUAUUCAGUAAGUGAAAAUAAAAUAAACAAUAAAAGGUGAAUCAAAUGGACCAUUAUGGCAAGGCUGGGAUGGUCAAUUUGGUAAAGUAAAUCCGUUGGGCAACUUUCUUUGCCUUUAGACAACAAUUCUGAUGGCAAAAGAGCCAAACGGGACAGGCGCAAGGGAAAAAAAAAAGAAGAAAAAAAAGAAAAAAAAAAAAAGACUGUUGACCCAAUCUGUAGGCUCAUUGACAGGUGUUAUGACAUCUCUGUUUUGUAAGUCCUGUAGCGUCUUCUUCAGCGGGUCCAUUAUGGAGAGAGGCACGUUCCUGCAUGUAUGAAUCACAGGUGUUGCGUUUGGGUCAGUGUGUAUGUGGUGAACUCCAGGGAACUCACCUAAGCCUGUGAACACAUCAGAAUACAUCUCCACAAGCUCUUCCUUGGUAGAAGGUGGUUUGGCUAGUUUCGUUUUAGUGGAUGUUAUGGCAAGGGUCUCAACUCGUUUCACCAGAUGCAGCUCUUCACAAGCUUGUCCACCUAGGAUCGGUUUAUCAGCAUGGCCUGAUACAAGAAAGUCAAACACAGCCUUGUGGUUCCGUGCUUCACACUCAAGAGACACCACACCAUCUGCACGUAUGCGGGCUCCACCAAAAGCUAUGAGUACAGUCUUUGUGGGCUGUAACCG